CCUACGGGAUGCAGCAGUGGGGGAUAUUGCACAAUGGGGGGAACCCUGAUGCAGCGACGCCGCGUGAGCGAAGAAGUACCUCGGUAUGUAAAGCUCUAUCAGCAGGGAAGAAAAUGACGGUACCUGACGAAGAAGCCACGGCUAAAUACGUGCCAGCAGCCGCGGUAAUACGUAUGGGGCAAGCUGUAUCCGGAUUUACUGGGUGUAAAGGGAGCGCAGGCGGCCUGGCAGGUCUGGUGGGAAAACCCGGGGCCCAACCCCGGGCCUGCCUUGGAAACUGGCUGGCUGGAGUGUCGGAGGGGCAGGCGGAAUUCCUGGUGUAGCGGUGAAAUGCGUAGAUAUUAGGAGGAACACCGGUGGCGAAGGCGGCCUGCUGGACGAUGACUGACGCUGAGGCUCGAAAGCGUGGGGAUCAAACAGGAUUAGAUACCCGAGUAGUC
rnacentral:rRNA from 1 species